rnacentral:lncRNA from 1 species
UUGGUUUAGGGUUUGGUUUAGGAUUUGGUUAGGAUUUGGUUUAGGAUUUUAUUGGGGUUUGGUUUAAGAUUUGUUUAAGGCUUGAUUUAGGAUUUAGGAUUUUAUUAGGAUUUAAGAUUCAAUUAGUUUUGGCCUAAAGUUUGAAUGAAGUUCAAUAGGAUUUUAACUAGAAUUAAAUUAAGAUUGAAUUGAGAUGUAUUUGAGUGAUAUUUGUGAUUCUUCUAAUAUUUCUUUAAGAAUUCUUAUUAUCUGUUUGAAAUUUCUUUGAGUUUUUUUUGAAUUUUUUUAAGCUUGCUUAGUAUUAUUAUGGUCUAAUUAGAGCAUUAUUAGUAUUCUAUUAGAAUUAGGAUUUUGUUAUUGCAAUUUUCAUUCUUCCUUCUACAGCGAGGUGUUCAAAGCAUUCUUAAGCAAGACUUCAUGUAUUACAACAUAUUUGAUGAAUCUGACAUGAAACGCUUGAGAUAGAAGGAAUUUGGUUCAUUUUUUGGAUUAAUUGAAUUUUUGAAAAGGAAUUCAAGGAAAAUGGAAGGAAGAAAUUUUGAUGGUGCUUCAAGUGGAAUUGGAAGAGGAGCUUCGAUUGGAGGACAAGGUAUGCAUUUUGAUCCUAACUCUACAAGCAUGUUUGAAGCUUUGGCCUUAUUCAUGCAAUAACAAUAGCAACAGGUUAAAGAUUACAAAGAGAAUAUGGCUAACAAAGUAUUACAAGCGGUUGUAGAUAAGAUUGAUCAAUUUGAAAGAAAGGAUAUUACAAAAUAUUUAUGAUGUUAUGUAAAAGAAAUGGAAUUGAAGCGUAUUUCAGAAAAAGAAAUGGUUUAACUAUUUGAAUUAGCCUUUGCUCGAGAGAUAAGAAAUCAAGUAAAGUUUCUUAUACAACAUUUUGGAGGUUCAUGGGAGAAAUUUUGUCAAGCAUUCAAGAAUGAGUUUUUCUUAGAAGAUAGUGAUAGGGUUACAAAAAGGUCUUUUUUUGAAUGGAUUGAAAGGCGAGAGAAGGACCUUCUAGCAAUAGAAUUAUUAAAGAAGUUUGAAAAGUAAUAUUCUUCUUUAUAAAAGAAAGAAAGAUAAUUAUUGGAUCCAAGUAAGGUGGAGCUCUUUCUUCAAGCAACUGAUGGAAAGUUGCAAGAAAACUUAGAAAUCAUGCUUGAAGAUAAAGAAGAAGAUGAAGGAUUGACAAAAAAUUAAAAAAGGAUAGAGGAGGUUGUAAGGUCGUUGAAAAAAAGAAAAAGGAAAAAAGAUAUGAGAGGUGACCAAAGACCAUUAUAAGCAUCUAAAGUAAAGGUAUCUAGUAUCCAUCUCACAUCUUUGAUUCAACCUUCAAUGACUACAUCAAAAAAAGAAGCAAUAGGAAUUGAUGAAAUCAUAUGUGGGAUGAGAGAUUUGCAAAUAAAAUUUACAAAACUUGAAGAAAAGGAUCAAUCAUCAAGAAUAUCAAUAAAACAAAGACCAGGGCCAAUGGAAGGUGUAGUACGUAGGUACGUAUGGUGUGAUAGCAUAGAUCACUCAAGGAGGGAAUGUGAAGAUUUUAUAGAGGCAUUACAUAAAGGAGUUGUUUUUUUUAAGAUGGUAUGAUACACUCAAAAGAAAGUGGAGAAAAAUUGGAAACAAAUUUUGGUAAAGGAAGAAUGAAGUUAUUUAUUGGAGAUACAUUUAAAGUGCAUACAAUCUCAAACAAUGAAGCAUCAACAUAUUGGGUGGAAGCAGAUCCUAGUAGAUGUUUAAGUAUAAAUUUUGAGUUUUCAAGAGAAUCUAGUUCUUUGUAGACAAGUGCAAUGAGUUAUGCUGAAAGUGAAAAUUUUAUUAGAGAUGAUUUAAAACAUGUUGGUAAUAACAUUCGACAAAUUAUUGGGUGGGAUGAUCCAGUAGAUAGAUUAUCUGUAUAUGCUCAUAUUACAAGGAGUCAAUAUGAAGCAUUAAUAGAAGAAAAAUGAAGGAGAGAUGAAAAUAAUAAAGGGCCCUCAAAAAAAACUACAAGGGGAGAAAAAGCAUGACAAUAAAAGAAUUCUAUUCAUGAAGAGACAAUAGAGAACAUUUCUUAGAAAGGAAGGAAAAUUGAAAAAGAAAAAGCAAAGGCUCCUACUUAUAAAUUAUAAUCAGAUAUUGAAGCUACUACAGAUUUGAAGAAGGUAUUAGAGGAGUUGAUUUUAAGUGGAAAGGUUGAAUUCACAAUUGGUGAAAUUUUAGGAAUUACAAAGCAUGAAUUUCAUGAAGUUAUUAUUGAUACAAUAAAGAAAAAACGACAAUCUAUAGGAGACUCUAUGACAUCAAAUGCAUAAAGAACAAGAGCAAUAGAAAGAAAUAAAGAGGAAGAAGAUGAAAUACAAAAUUUUGGGGAUGUCUUGCGAGUAAGAUUUGCAAAAAAAGAAGAUGUCAUUCAAGCUUCUAGCCAUUAUUCUAGAAGUUAUUGGGCAAGGGCUACAAUGGAGACUUUAAUAAAAUUGAGAAAUUUAGAAGAACCACUUAUAGCAUUGAUUGAUCAUGGUUUUGAAAUCAAUUUGAUGUCAAAAGAAUUAUAUAAUAAGAAAAAAUGGCCUAUUGAUACUAAACAUGGAUGGAUGAUAAGAGCUGCAAAUAAUUCAAAUGGAGAUUUGUAUGGAAUAUGUCCAAAUAUCAAUAUGACAAUAAAAGAAGUUAUUCAUGAAUAAAAUUUCUUUGUGAAAGACAUGUCUACAUAUCCUAUUAUAUUGGGAGAAUCAUAUAUUAUUUCUACACAAAUAGAAAUAAAAGUAAUGGAUGACGGUUUAGCGUAUGCAAGAAUAAGAAACCAAGAUGGAGUAAAAGCAGUUCAAUUUUUAACUGUUUGUGCUAAUCUUGAGAAAAAUCAUGAUAAGUAGAGAGAAAAGCCAUUAUCAAAUGAGAAAUUUGAAGACCUUGAGGAUUUUUACCGCAUACCAUUGUAAAGCGGGGUUGCAAUAGAUUAAAGAAAGAAAAGCUCCUACUUAAUUUAGAAGAAGAAUCAUUAUCUACCAAACUUACUAGGAUGACACAAGAUUGUGUAUUGACUUUUAAGAAUAUUGAUAAGAUAAAAAUGAAGAAUAGAUGUUAUAUCAAAAAUAUUGAGCAAAAUUUUAAAAAAAAUAGAGAAUUAGUUGAAACUGAAUUUAUUUCAAGAGCAUAUGAAGAAGUAGGUUUUAUAGAUACUAUGGAAGAAUUAAAUUAUCUAUUAUAAUGUAGAUUACAAGUAGAAAAUAGAGUUAUUAAUGUGUGUUCUAAAGAAUUUUAUGAUGAAAUUUAAGGAUUUAUAGAAAAUUUAAGUCGCCAAGAGGUAUGUGUUGAAACUAAAUAUAAAUCCAUAGCAAGGAAGGUCAAAUCAGUGGCUUUACUACUACCAUCUGAUUGUGAAGAAAAGAUAAGUGGAGCAUCGACACAACCAAAUUUAAGAAAUCUAAGGAAGAUAGACCAUAAAUUUACGGAUGUUAUAUUAGAUGGAUUAAAUGUUGGAGGCUAUGGAUUUUUGACAAAAUGUAAAAAAAAAAUUUAGGGAUAUGCUUUCACGUCUUGGAAAGGCUUUUGCAUUUGAGGCACAUGAAAUUAGGUGUGUUGAUCCAAGUAUUGUAGCACCUAUGGUUAUUUUUACUAUUCCUUAUGAACCAUGGAAUUUGCAACCAAUUCCACUACCAAGAGUAUAUUUAUCUAAGUUAGUAGAUUUACUCAAUAAAAAGAUUAAAAUGGAAAUUUUGAAACCAUCUACGGUACCUUAUUCUAAUCAAUGGUUUAUAAUGCCAAAGAAAAAUGGAACAAUGAGAUUUAUACAAGAUAUGCAACUCGUAAAUAAAGUGACUAUUAGAAAUAUGGAUUCAAGUCCAAUUGUGGAUGAAUUUACAGAAGCAUUUGCUGGAAGAGCUAUCUACUCAAUAGGUAAUCUUUAUUUAGGUUAUGAUCAAUUUCAAUUGGCAAUACAAAGUAGGGAUUUGACAACUAUGAAGACACCAUUAGGAUUAGUUAGAAUGUGCACAUUACCACAAGGGACUACAAAUUCUAUAGCACAUAUGAUGAAUGGAAUGCAUAAGGUAUUAAGAGAGUUUAUUCUAAGAAUAACAAUGCCUUUCUUGGAUGAUGUACCUAUUAAGAAAUGUGAAAAAGAAAGAAAAGAUGAAACUUUGGAUUUAAAGGGAUGUAGAAAGUUUGUGGCAGAUCAUAUUGAAGAUUGUGAGAAGAUUUUGAAAAGAUUGGAAGAAGUUCAUUUAACCUUAUCGGGGGCAAAAUCAAUGUUUGGAGUAAAAGAAAUUUUGGUGGUAGGACACAUAUGUGGUUCAUAUGGACGUAAGUCAAGUAUAAAAAAGAUUAAUAUUAUAAAAAGUUGAAAGAAUGUACAAAUACAAUGGAAGUGAGAAGAUUUUUAGGAGCAUGUAUCUUCUAUCAUAUAUGGAUACCUCAUUUUGCACAUAUCGCAGAUUCAUUGUAUGAGUUGUUAAGAAAGAAUCAAAAAUUUCAAUGGAAAGAAGAACAACGAAAAGCUAUAGAAAAAUUGAAAGAACUUUUUUUUUCAUCUCCAAAUUUGAAGAAAGUAAAUUAUGAAGGUGGAAGGCUAGUGGUAUUAACAGUUGAUGUAAGUUCAAUUGGAAUAGGUUGGACGGCUGGACAAGAUGAUGAACAAGGGAAUAGAUAUGUAUUAAGAUUUGGAGUAAAGGUAUUGAAUUCCUGGCAAAGGACAUAUGCGCAAAUCAAAAGAGAAUUAUGAGGUGUAGUAAUAGCUAUGAAAAAUGAAAAAGAAUACUUGAUUGGGGCAUCAGUAGUUAUAGAAACAGAUUGUCUACCUUUGUUAGGCAUGAUUACAAGUUGUUCAAUUCCUGAUAUUGCUAUGUUGAAGUGGAUAGCAUAUAUCAAAUCUAUGAAUCUAGAAUUUAAACAUAUUGCAGAGAAAGAAAAUUCAAUUGUAGAUAUGUUAUCAAGAGUAAGGUAUAUUGAUAAAGAAAAGAUGAUUGAUUUAGAAGAUGAUGUGAGUACAAAAUUUUAUACCAAUGCGUUAUCAAAGGAAAAGAGUAUAUGUUUUAAUAUACCAUUGAAAACAUUUUUAAGAGAUUUAUAUGAAAAUGAAUGAGAAGAUGUUGGGGAGUAUUUGAGCUUAUUAAAGUGACAAAAAGGUUGGACGGAUUAAAAAUUUAAGAAAAUCCGUAAGAAAGCCUAUGGAUAUUUUUUACAUGAUGGAUAUUUAUAGAAGCAUCCAAAAAAAAGGAGAAGUACCACAAAGGGUGAUAUGUGGUUUAGAAGCUCAACAAAGGAUUAUUAAAGAAUUUCAUGAAAAUUUAUGAGUUGGGCAAUAUUGACUAAGAUAAGAGAAAAAUAUUGGUGGAAGGAAAUGUACAAAGACAUAGCAAAAUUUGUAGAAUCUUGCGAGACUUGCCAAGUAUAUUCAAAUAUUCGGCAUCGAGAUGGAUUACAUCCAACAUAUCCUUUGGCUUUACAUUACAAGUAGGUAGUAGAUUCAAUAGCAAUGCCUAUGGAACUUGGACAAAUAAAGUAUUUGAUACUUGUACGAAAAGAUUUAUCAAAUAUGGUUGAAGGACGAGCAUUAAAAACAAAGGAUACUAAAAGGGUAUGCUGAUUUCUAUUAGAAGAAGUUAUUUGUCGCUAUGGUUGUAUUAGAAAAAUCACGAUGGAUAGGGAUAAAUUAGAUGCAAAAGAAGUACAAGAAUUCUUUAGUAGAAUAGGAAUUAAACUUUCUUUAACAACAGCAUAUAAUCCAGAAGGUAAUGGUAAAAAUAAGCAUGGGCAUUCACCUAUUGUUAAGGCAUUAGUAAAGGCAUGCAAUGGCAAAGCACAUAAAUGGCCUAGACUACUACCAAUUGUACUAUGGACAGAUCGUACAAUUCAUAGUUCGGUAACAGGUUAUAUGCCUUCUAAAUUAAUAUAUGGAGAAAAAUCAAUAAUGCUAAUAGAAGAUGUAGUACCUACAUGGGGUAUAUUGCCUUGGAAGAAUGAUCUCAACAGAGAAGAACUUUUAGGAUUACGGAUUCAACAACUAGAAAGAAGACCCAAUGAUAUUGAAAUAGCAAUAAAAAAAUUGAAAGAAGCAAGGAAGAAGAAUAAUGAAAGAUUUGAUAAAAAAAAACAUCGACUAUAACCCAAGGCUAUUGAAGAUGGUGAUUGGGUAUUAGUUUAUGAUAGUAGCUUAGACAAUCAACAUAGCACUAUGAAGAAGUUUGCAAAGAGAUGGUUUGGACUUUAUAUUGUCAAAAAGGCAUACAACAAUGGAACAUAUUCAUUAUAAGAACUUGAUGGUACAGAAUUGAAGGUUCUCAUAGCAUACAAACGAAUCAAGUUAUUUAAACAAAGAGAUGAAGGUAUUUUUUUUGAUGAAGAACAAAAUCCAAUACAAGAUAUUGAGAUUGAAAUAGAAGAGCAUAUAGAAGAUCAAGAAUUGUACCAAGAUGAAGAACAUUCUACAUGAACAUAUUGAAGAAUCCUUGGCGCAUGUCGGAAGAUGCAGAGAUUCAGGGAGGGUGGAUGUCAUGAUGUAACACGAUUAAUAGGUGAAAGAAUAUGGAAAUUAUUAUAAUUUAGGAGAUCUUAGUUCAAAAUAUUAGAAAAAAUUAUCUUAGAAAUAUAAUUAAUAGUCAAAGGGGUAGAAAAAUUAAAAGGUACCAAUGCUGCCUUUAGAAAGGUGACUUCUACUUAUUUUGUAGCACCAUAAGUAAGGCAAAUCAAAGUAGAUUUGGAAAAUAAAUGAUAUAGGCAACUUUAGAAGAAAGUUAAGAGUAAAUUUUAAAAAAAGGUUAUUUAGAAAAACUAGAUAUUGAUACCUGGAGAAGGCCAGUUAUGAACUAGGGUCGAAAUCAGACCCUGGGGCACAAAACCGAGUCUCAACAAUGACUCCAGGGUUCUUUUGGAAAUUGGAGAGUGAGGUUUGAAAGCAGACUGAAUAGGAUUUUUAUGAGCUAUGAGUUUGGAUGAUUUGAAGUUGAUAUGACUUUGUAAGAGCUUUGCAAAGUCAAGGUUUGUUUUGGAUGACUUGGAUUUUAUGAAAUAAAAUAGGGUUUAUAUUUUGGAUGAUUUCAAGAGUUUUGUAAUAGAUCUAUAGAUGAAAUUUUUUGGAUUUAUGGUUAUAGUUGUUUUCAAUUUGUAUCAUAAAUUUGAGCUCGAUCUAACGGUUCAAUUGAAGAAUAUUGAGGUUUAAAUUGGUCAAGAUCUCAAAAAGUAGAAUUUUAGGUUUAGUACAGGUUUUUGAGAUUUCUUACAAUCUAUUAGUUGGAUUGGAGUGAAACUUACGUGAAAGGAUAUUAAACUUGAUUUUCUAUGUGUACAAGAAUUUUGAAAUUAAUUAAACAGUGCAAAAAAGAGAUAUUGGCUCUGGAAGAUUGGCAUCAAGAUUGGAGAAGGAGGCCGGCCAAUACCUGAGCACAUUUUUGAAGUUAUCGUCAAUUUAGUAACUCUGAUCCUUUUCAAUUUGUUUUUUUACUUGUUUUUAAAUGAUUUGUUUAGAAGUGUGUAAAAUUUAAGUUAAGAUCAAUGGUUUAUUCAUUAGUUAUUAAGGUUUAAAUCUGUUAUAGGAAUUACUAGGGUUUCAUUUAGGGUUUGGUUAGGAUUUGGUUUAGGAUUUUAUUGGGGUUUGGUUUAAGGUUUGUUUAAGGUUUGAUUUAGGAUUUAGGAUUUUAUUAGGAUUUAAGAUUCAAUUAGUUUUGGCCUAAAGUUUGAAUGAAGUUCAAUAGGAUUUUAACUAGAAUUAAAUUAAGAUUGAAUUGAGAUGUAUUUGAGUGAUAUUUGUGAUCCUUCUAAUAUUUCUUUAAGAAUUCUUAUUAUCUGUUUAAAAUUUCUUUGAGUUUUUUUUGAAUUUUUUUAAGCUUGCUUAGCAUUAUUAUGGUUUAAUUAGAGUAUUGUUAGUAUUCUAUUAGAAUUAAGAUUUUGUUAUUGUAAUUUUCAUUCUUCCUUCUACAACAAGGUGCUCAGAGCAUUCUUAAGCAA